rnacentral:rRNA from 1 species
UACGAAGGGGGCUAGCGUUGCUCGGAAUCACUGGGCGUAAAGGGCGCGUAGGCGGGAUGGCAAGUCGGUCGUGAAAUCCUUCGGCUCAACCGAAGAACGUCGGCCGAUACUGCCGUUCUUGAGGGAUGCAGAGGAGAUUGGAAUUUCCGGUGGAGCGGUGAAAUGCGUAGAGAUCGGAAAGAACACCAACGGCGAAAGCACUCUGCUGGGCCGACACUGACACUGAGAGACGAAAGCUAGGGGAGCGAAUGGG